UGGCCACAUCAUAUUUAAACACCAGUACUCAUAUGAUCACUGAAGUUAAGCAACAUCAAGCCUGGUCAGUACCUAGAUGGCUGAUUGCUUAGGAUUACCAGGUGCUGUGA